rnacentral:rRNA from 1 species
GUGGGGGAUAUUGCACAAUGGGGGAAACCCUGAUGCAGCGACGCCGCGUGAGUGAAGAAGGUUUUCGGAUCGUAAAGCUCUGUUGUAAGAGAAGAACGUGUGUGAGAGUGGAAAGUUCACACAGUGACGGUAUCUUACCAGAAAGGGACGGCUAACUACGUGCCAGCAGCCGCGGUAAUACGUAGGUCCCGAGCGUUGUCCGGAUUUAUUGGGCGUAAAGCGAGCGCAGGCGGUUUGAUAAGUCUGAAGUAAAAGGCUGUGGCUUAACCAUAGUACGCUUUGGAAACUGUCAAACUUGAGUGCAGAAGGGGAGAGUGGAAUUCCAUGUGUAGCGGUGAAAUGCGUAGAUAUAUGGAGGAACACCGGUGGCGAAAGCGGCUCUCUGGUCUGUAACUGACGCUGAGGCUCGAAAGCGUGGGGAGCGAACAGGAUUAGAAACCCCAGUAGUCC